rnacentral:rRNA from 1 species
GACGAACGCUGGCGGCGUGCUUAACACAUGCAAGUCGAACGAAGUGGCGAACGGGUGAGUAACGCGUAAUCAACCUGCCCUUCAGAGGGGGACAACAGUUGGAAACGACUGCUAAUACCGCAUACUGAAGGAGGGGAUUGCGUCUGAUUAGCUAGUUGGAGGGGUAACGGGCCACCAAGGCGAUGAUCAGUAGCCGGUCUGAGAGGAGGAACGGCCAAAAUGGGACUGAGAAACGGCCCAGACUCCUAAGGGAGGCAGCAGGGGGGAAUCGUCCGAAAUGGACGAAAGUCUGACGGAGCAACGCCGGGUGAGGGAUGACGGCCUUCGGGUUGUAAAGCUCUGUUAAUCGGGACGCGGUAUCUAACCAGAAAGCCACGGCUAACUACGUGCCAGCAGCCGCGGUAAUUC